rnacentral:tRNA from 1 species
GCAGGCGGUGGCCGACAUGGCCGUGGCGCUGGCAGCGCUGCGCGCGAUGCCGGAAUGCACCGGUCGCAUCGGCGCCCUCGGCU